GGUGAGUAACACGNGGGUAACCUGCCUGUAAGACUGGGAUAACUCCGGGAAACCGGGGCUAAUACCGGAUGGUUGUUUGAACCGCAUGGUUCAAACAUAAAAGGUGGCUUCGGCUACCACUUACAGAUGGACCCGCGGCGCAUUAGCUAGUUGGUGAGGUAACGGCUCACCAAGGCAACGAUGCGUAGCCGACCUGAGAGGGUGAUCGGCCACACUGGGACUGAGACACGGCCCAGACUCCUACGGGAGGCAGCAGUAGGGAAUCUUCCGCAAUGGACGAAAGUCUGACGGAGCAACGCCGCGUGAGUGAUGAAGGUUUUCGGAUUGUAAAGCUCUGUUGUUAGGGAAGAACAAGUACCGUUCGAAUAGGGCGGUACCUUGACGGUACCUAACCAGAAAGCCACGGCUAACUACGUGCCAGCAGUCGCGGUAAUACGUAGGUGGCAAGCGUUGUCCGGAAUUAUUGGGCGUAAAGGACUCGCAGGCGGUUUCUUAAGUCUGAUGUGAAAGCCCCCGGCUCAACCGGGGAGGGUCAUUGGAAACUGGGGAACUUGAGUGCANAAGANGAGAGUGGAAUUCCACGUGUAGCGGUGAAAUGCGUANNGAUGUGGAGGAACACCAGUGGCGAANGCGACUCUCUGGUCUGUAACUGACGCUGANGAGCGAAAGCGUGNGGAGCGAACAGGAUUANACACCCUGGUAGUCCACGCC
rnacentral:rRNA from 1 species